GACUAGCCUACAUGAUCUAUUAGGAAAAUAUUCCCGAGAACGCACUCACACCUCUAUUGCUAUCUUCUCUACAGUCUAAACGAGAUCAUUGGGACGUCCCAACUCUGAUGUCAACCUGUUGAAGUGUAAAACGGUUAAUGCUGGGAGACAACCUUUGAUCCCUCCAUCGCCAACUGUGACUUUGAGGGUGGUUUCUGCUGACACACCCAGGAUCAAAUGGAAGGAUCCCCAUGGAAGAGGGUGUCAGUCAAGCCCAACAUCUACAGGAUUGGGGACCACACAACAGGGGCAGGAUCCUUCCUUCUGGCCCGCUCCCGGCUGAAUCCACGCGCUGGCUAUAUUAGCCACCUGCUCGGGCCUCUUCUGCCCGGCAACAUGAAGUACUGUCUGAGGUUCCACUACUCUCUCUGUGAAUUCAUCCAGACAGACCAGGCUCUCACCGUUUACAUUCAGGAUCAGAGCGGAAUCACACAGGAGAGGAUAUGGACCCAGAACGACAAGGUGUCUGGAUAGCGACAGAGGUCACCAUCCAGAGUCCACAUGUUGCCAAUGUAAAAUGGCUUAACAAUGGCUUUCCUUUUUAGUUAGUCAGUUAUUUUCAUUCCUCAGUCAGAACAACUGUCCUGUGCAUGCCUUGCCUAUAGUGUUUCAUAAUGUUUGUGACGGAACCCCUUGUGUUUAUUCGGCCUUACAUUGUAUCUUUGACAUCGUUUUUUUUAAUUGUCAGUCCUUUGGUUUGGCUCCAGCUUCAUAAGGAGCAGCAGUUUAAAAUGAAACACGAAUGCCGAAGUCUGUAGUCAGCGAUUCUCCUCGUUGGUUUUUCUUUUUAAACAGUGGAAUACCAAAGUGACCAACAGCAUCAGGCAAGUGGUGAAAAACAUCACUACCCAUAAUCCCUCUCCUCCUCUGUACAAUAACACCUGAGACGUAAUAGGAAACGAAACACCCCACUCGCUGUUUUAUUCGUCGUCUGCGUAGAGGUGGAUCAGAGAAUCACCAGCAGCAAGAGGGACAUCAUUGAUGUAUACAGAGAAAAGAGUCGGCCCGAGAAUUAAACCCUGUGGCACCCCCAUAGAG